AACGAACGCUGGCGGCAGGCUUAACACAUGCAAGUCGAGCGCCCCGCGAGGGGAGCGGCAGACGGGUGAGUAACGCGUGGGAACGUACCCUUUGCUACGGAAUAGCUCCGGGAAACUGGAAUUAAUACCGUAUGUGCCCUACGGGGGAAAGAUUUAUCGGCAAAGGAUCGGCCCGCGGUGGAUUAGCUAGUUGGUGGGGUAAUGGCCUACCAAGGCGACGAUCCAUAGCUGGUCUGAGAGGAUGAUCAGCCACAUUGGGACUGAGACACGGCCCAAACUCCUACGGGAGGCAGCAGUGGGGAAUAUUGGACAAUGGGCGCAAGCCUGAUCCAGCCAUGCCGCGUGAGUGAUGAAGGCCUUAGGGUUGUAAAGCUCUUUCACCGGAGAAGAUAAUGACGGUAUCCGGAGAAGAAGCCCCGGCUAACUUCGUGCCAGCCGCCGCCGUAAUAC
rnacentral:rRNA from 1 species